rnacentral:rRNA from 1 species
GACGAACGCUGGCGGCGCGCUUAACACAUGCAAGUCGAACGGUGAACCGGGCUUCGGCCCGGGGAUCAGUGGCGAACGGGUGCGUAACACGUGGGCAACCUGCCCCUCACUCUGGGAUAACCCCGGGAAACCGGAGCUAAUACCGGAUACUCCGACCGGUCCGCAUGGUCUGGUCGGGAAAGGUCCGCCGGUGAGGGAUGGGCCCGCGGCCUAUCAGCUUGUUGGUGGGGUAACGGCCUACCAAGGCGACGACGGGUAGCUGGUCUGAGAGGGCGACCAGCCACACUGGGACUGAGAUACGGCCCAGACUCCUACGGGAGGCAGCAGUGGGGAAUCUUGCGCAAUGGGCGAAAGCCUGACGCAGCGACGCCGCGUGGGGGACGAAGGCCCUCGGGUUGUAAACCCCUUUCGGCAGGGACGAAGCGAUCGUGACGGUACCUGCAGAAGAAGCCUCGGCUAACUACGUGCCAGCAGCCGCCGUAACAC